GACGAAGGAUCCAAGCGUUAUCCGGAUUCAUUGGGUUUAAAGGGUGCGUAGGCGGGUUUGUAAGUCAGUGGUGAAAGCCGGCAGCUCAACUGUCGAAUUGCCAUUGAUACUGCAGACCUAGAAUAUAGAUGAUGUUGGCGGAAUAUGACAUGUAGCGGUGAAAUGCAUAGAUAUGUCAUAGAACACCGAUUGCGAAGGCAGCUGACAAAACUAUAAUUGACGCUGAUGCACGAAAGUGCGGGGAUCAAACAGG
rnacentral:rRNA from 1 species